AGUAGCUGAGAACUUACAUCCACAACUAUGAGGCAAAGAGAGAUAACUGGGAUAGUGUGGGCCUUUGAAACCUCAUGGGUCACCCUCAGUGAUACACCCCCUCCAGUAAGGCCACAUCGUCCUGAACAGUUCCACUAACUGGGGACCAAGUAUUGAAACAUACUAAAGUCACAUCAGAUAAGGGCUCUCUCCUGAAGACCCCAGACAAAGGAACAAAGUGGGUGGACAGCCUUCCCCACACACCUCAGGGGUCUGUCUUCUUGGAGCAUCAAAGUUCAGCUUCAUUUCCUGUGUCAGGGAGGUCCCAACUCAGGCCUUGGGUCUAGGGGAGCUGCCAAACCCAGCAGUGGGUAAAUAUUUGUUCCCUCAUGCCUAUGGGCUUGGGACCUGCUGGGUUUAGGGGCAGGGGUUGAGACUCAUGGGGCAAACAGACCUGAGGAUCUAGGCACCUACAUCCAUUAAGGUUUGGAAUUCAGAAGCAGUAGGCUGUAAGCACUCAACGUUCCUCUCAAGCAGCAUGGAUCCAGUUCUAGCCAUAUUGCCCCACAGGUGGAGUAGAGACAGCUGGUCCCUACCACACCCAGCCCGAUGUGCAGUGUCCAGAGCAAAAUCCACUUCGUUGGUGAGGCUUUGCAAGGCACGGAGUUCAGCAUCAGGAGUGGUCCACCGGCUGUCUGCCCACCCACUGCUGGGACAGAAGCAGCUCUCAGCCACAGCCACCCCCAUCAAUCAAUAUUUUUAAUUACCUUUACAUGAUUGACUAAUAAAAUUCUCCACUGACUAAUUG
rnacentral:lncRNA from 1 species